AGUGAACGCUGGCGGUAGGCCUAACACAUGCAAGUCGAACGCCGGCACAGUAAGAGCUUUCUCUUACGGGUGGCGAGUAGCGGACGGGUGAGGAAUACAUCGGAAUCUACUUUUUCGUGGGGGAUAACGUAGGGAAACUUACGCUACUACCUCAUACGACCUACGGGUGAACGCAGAGGAUCUUCGGACCUUGCCCGAUCGACUGAGCCGAUGUGGGAUUAGCUAGUUGGGGGGGUAGAGGCCCACCAAGGCGACGAUCCGUAGCUGGUCUGAGAGGUGGAUGAGCCACAAUGGACUUGGGAAACGGUCCAGACUCCUACGGGAGGCAGCGGAGGGGAAUAUUGGACAAUGGGCGCAAGCCGGAUCAAGCCAUACCGCGUGGUUGAAGAAGGCCUUCGGGUGGUAAAGCCCUUUUGUUGUGAAAGAAAAGCAGCAGGUUAAUACCCCGAUGUUCUGACGGUACCCAAAGAAUAAGCACCGGCUAACUUCGUG
rnacentral:rRNA from 1 species